AGGUAGAAUGGCCGAUUGUUAGGCGGCCGGCUGUAUCCUGCUUACAUAGGUAUAAGUCCUGUCUCUUCC
rnacentral:tRNA from 1 species